rnacentral:misc_RNA from 1 species
AUACUUUCUAACUAGUAUAUUUAACAAAGUGAUUUUCUCAAUAACAGUUUUAACAGCAAUGCUAAAUAGGCCCUGAAUCUGUUUGAAACUGAUAUAGAGCUUUAAAUCAAACAUGACCAAAAGUUCUUUAUUGUUAAAAGUUGGCAUUUCAAUACAAGGUCAUCCUGAUGCCAAAAGAUGUAAUUACUGUUCUGCUGCUCACACAAAUACGAUGGUCAAUAUUGUAGGCAGCAACUAUCACUUGCAUGUCCCCAGUGGAUGCUUAAAUGCUUUGUGCUGGAGACUUUCAACUUGGAGGUCUCAAGUUGAAUUCAUCAUAGGAUGGAAGAGGGAUGCCCAGCCCAAGAUCUAGUAGGCUCCCAAUAGUUAAAUAAAAGGAAGGAAGAAAAAAGAAAAAGCUACUAUAACUUGCCUGAUCAUUCAAGUCAAAGAGGAAUGAUGAAUUGGCACGAUCAUAGAUUUUCCCGCGCUUAUCUGCCUCUCGGUGGGAGAUCAGUUCACCAGUAUAUUCUCCAAGAUAAUCAUUUUUGUUGACAGGGUUCUGAAAUCACAUCCAAUUUGUUGAACAAAACUUGUACAUUACCACUGAAGAAAACAAUUGUAUGUGCAUUUCUACCUUUGAAAAUGCACCCCAUCCAGCGACUUCAGAUUUUGCCAAAAGGAUCUGAAGAAGGAAAAAGUAAAAAAAACAUUUAUAGCACAGCAUAUUCCUUUUCAAAAUCACUAUCAAAAUAUUAGUAUUGAUAACAUGAGUUCUGAAUUGCACACUCUGUGCUGCUGCCUUAGAAGAAGCCUCAUGUUCCCACAUUGGCCAUCUCCUCGUUUGGGUGGUUCACCUAAUGAACCAUCACCACAACUAACCCAGCAAUUCCGACAAACAUCCGGAUCACAUUCACGUCCAGCAGCAAAACAUGGACAUUGUCUGCUUCUGCAUUGACUUUUUGCACAGUGACAUCCACGGAAACGAUUUUUACAGCUUUUUGAGCAGCCACAAUACUUUUCACAGCAAGUACCAUUCUGCAAACAAGGACAAUGCUUUCCACACAUCGGCUGGCAUCCACAUGGAUUAUAUUGUAUACAUGAUUGAUUCUUUCCAUCGGCCAUUCUUCUCCAGAUUGAGGGAUGCCCAGAAGACUUUGAGGAAUAUUUCAGUUUGCGUGUUCUGCCUCUUCUACGAAGAAAACGUGAUUUCGUCGGAAUAUCUAGCUCCAUGUAAUCCAUGUCAGCUUUCCCAUUAUCCUCCGAAAAUAAGCUUGAGGAGCCUCCACGUUGCGCCGCUGCUCUGUUAUCCAUGUAAGAGGAUACCUCCAUACAAGUUUUCAAGCCAGGAAGUAAGUUUCUAGCAAUUAGGCAACUAUUUCUCCCAAAUAUCUCUAUCCCCUUUAAAUAUAGUUCUUUCUCUAGGGGUUUCCAUUCUGGUAAAUUUUUGGAGUAGGAUGCAUGCUUCACAGUUUCCUUUAUAGUGUCCUCUCCUUCAUUUGAGACAUUGUCCCCAGUCUCAUGCAAAGAAGUACCAUGAUUAUAGCCAGACUGAUCUGGUGCUUGUGAAUGUGAUACAUAAUCAUUGGUGCUAAUAGACAUCCCAUUGCUCUCAGAUCCAUCUUCUGCUGCCACACUAACAGCAGUAGGGAGUGACAAUUUCCUUCUCUUACCAGAAGAAUCUUGUUGGUCAUCCAAAACUAGAUUUGACUUCUCUAAAGUUGUGUUUAUAGAAUCUGAUACUCCAUGCUUCAUUUUGCUAUCAAUGUGCUCGUCUAUUGUGACAAGGAAACAUAAACAAGUUGAACCAGCAACAUGUAACUUCAUAUGUUAUAGACAAGACAAGAAAAAUCAGCAAAGCGAUCUGUCAUCAAAAGUGUGUGAAUCAUCGUCACCUGGAUCUCUAGUUCUUUUGAUGUCCAUAGUGCUACCUCCCGCUUCUGAAGUGUGUUUUUCUAGUCCUUCCACUGGAUCUACAUUUGAAUAUUUAGUCUGGUUUGCUACACCUUUUACCUUAAGAUAACACCGAUCACCACAAGGUUUUCUAUCAUCUUCAGAAUCAGAAGAAUAAGGCUGCUUUUCAAUAGCAUCAAUAAGAAUUUGUGAACAGCCAUGCAGACGACAGUCGAACACCAGACAGCGGCGACAGAAAAGGUUAUCAAAGGAAUCUAAAGCAGCAGUAAGGCUUUUGUCUAGAAACAUGCUCCCCCCAAAUCCACUUUCCCUAGAAUCUUUUAAGCUUUUGCCGUCUGUAUCUUGAUGUUUUUCCUCAAGCACAUUACAGUGCUCCAGGAUUUCAGAAGUGGUGCCUCCAACAUACUGAGUCAAGAUGUCAAGAACUUCUUCAUUAAGCCCAAACUCCCGUGAAGCCAUCCUAAGAAUUUUGUCCUCUCCCUCAGAAAAAUGACGUUUCUCUUCCUCUGGUUCUGCUAUGUCUUCCUCACUAUCACUACAGAUUAGUGCCUCACUACCAUGCUGGUCAUAGUAUAUCCGCCUUCUCCCAACCACUGAUUGAUCUUCAGCCAUUCUUUGAUUUUUGUCUAAAAAGAUCCAAGUAGUAUAUGGUGGAAUGUUCUGAAUGAAGGGAAGUCUAGCAGUUACUGAAGAUACGACUUCCUCUCCAUUAGCAUAGUCCCUGUCUCCUGAACCUUGAACAAGUCCAACAACUUUGCAGAGGGGACUUGAUAUUCUUAAAGAAAGCAUUUUACCAGUCCCAGAAUUCUUCAUAGUAU